rnacentral:lncRNA from 1 species
GGGGAGGUCUGUGAGGAGGGGAGGUCUGUUGAAGGACUGUGAGGAGGGGAGGACUGUUGAAGGGCUGUGAGGAGGGGAGGUCUGUUGAAGGACUGUGAGGAGGGGAGGUCUGUGAGGAGGGGAGGUCUGUUGAAGGACUGUGAGGAGGGGAGGUCUGUUGAAGGACUGUGAGGAGGGGAGGUCUGUUGAAGGACUGUGAGGAGGGGAGGUCUGUUGAAGGGCUGUGAGGAGGGGAGGUCUGUUGAAGGACUGUGAGGAGUGGAGGUCUGUUGAAGGUCUGUGAGGAGGGGAGGUCUGUUGAAGGACUGUGAGGAGGGGAGGUCUGUUGAAGGACUGUGAGGAGGGGAGGUCUGUUGAAGGACUGUGAGGAGGGGAGGUCUGUGAGGAGGGGAGGUCUGUUGAAGGUCUGUGAGGAGGGGAGGUCUGUUGAAGGACUGUGAGGAGUGGAGGACUGUUGAAGGACUGUGAGGAGGGGAGGUCUGUUGAAGGACUGUGAGGAGGGGAGGAGGGGAGGUCUGUUGAAGGACUGUGAGGAGGGGAGGUCUGUUGAAGGACUGUGAGGAGUGGAGGUCUGUGAGGAGGGGAGGUCUGUUGAAGGACUGUGAGGAGUGGAGGACUGUUGAAGGACUGUGAGGAGUGGAGGUCUGUGAGGAGGGGAGGUCUGUUGAAGGACUGUGAGGAGUGGAGGACUGUUGAAGGACUGUGAGGAGUGGAGGUCUGUGAGGAGGGGAGGUCUGUU